CUACGGGAGGCUCCAGUGAGGAAUAUUGCACAAUGGGGGGAACCCUGAUGCAGCAACGCCGCGUGGAGGAUGACGCAUUUCGGUGUGUAAACUCCUUUUAUAUGUCAAGAAAAUGACGGUAGCAUAUGAAUAAGCACCGGCUAACUCCGUGCCAGCAGCCGCGGUAAUACGGAGGGUGCAAGCGUUACUCGGAAUCACUGGGCGUAAAGGACGCGUAGGCGGGUUGGAAAGUCAGGUGUGAAAUCCUACAGCUUAACUGUAGAACUGCACUUGAAACUUCUAAUCUAGAGUAUGGGAGGGGGAGAUGGAAUUAGUGGUGUAGGGGUAAUAUCCGUAGAUAUCACUAGGAAUACCUAAAGCGAAGGCGAUCUCCUGGAACAUUACUGACGCUAAGGCGUGAAAGCGUGGGGAGCAAACAGGAGUAGAAACCCUUGUAGUC
rnacentral:rRNA from 1 species